AAUGAACGUUGGCGGCAUGGAUUAGGCAUGCAAGUCGAGCGAGAAGAGUUUUGAAGCUUGCUUUAGAACUCGGACAGCGGCGAAAGGGAGAGUAACGCGUAGUUAUGUGCCCUAGGGUCCGGAAUAGCCACGGGAAACUGUGGGUAAUGCCGGAUAAUAUCCCCGGAUCAAAGGUGUGAUUCCGCCCUAGGAGCAGACUGCGUCCUACUAGCUAGUUGGUGGGGUAAUGGCCUACCAAGGCAACGAUGGGUAGCGGGUGGGAGAGCAUGCCCCGUCUCACUGGGACUGAGACACUGCCCAGACACCUACGGGUGGCUGCAGUCGAGAAUCUUCGGCAAUGGGCGAAAGCCUGACCGAGCGAUGCCGCGUGCGGGAUGAAGGCCCUCGGGUUGUAAACCGCUGUCGUAGGGGAGGAAGGUUCCGUGAAGAGCGGAAUUUGACCUAUCCUAGGAGGAAGUACGGGCUAAGUUCGUGCCAGCCGCCGCCGUAA
rnacentral:rRNA from 1 species